UACGGGGGGUGCUAGCGUUAUUCGGAAUCAUUGGGCGUAAAGGGCGCGUAGGCGGUCUUUUAAGUCAGAUGUGAAAGCCCUCGGCUUAACCGAGGAAGUGCAUUUGAUACUAAGAGACUUGAGUAUGGGAGAGGGAAGCGGAAUUCCUGGUGUAGCGGUGAAAUGCGUAGAUAUCAGGAGGAACACCGGUGGCGAAGGCGGCUUCCUGGACCAAUACUGACGCUGAGGCGCGAAAGCUAGGGGAGCAAACGGG
rnacentral:rRNA from 1 species